GCUGGUAUAGCUCAGUUGGUAGAGUGCUUGUCUCACAUGCACAAGGCCCUGGGUUCAAUCCCCAGCGUCAUCC
rnacentral:tRNA from 1 species